UGANUCAANGAWCGACAUUUUNANUAACGCUUCUAGCUUAAUCCACAUAACUGAUACUUCGUAUCGACUUUGUGCGCAUUUUGCUAUUAUGUGUUCUUUUAAUUAAAAUGAUUCUUUUUAAGGGUUUUCAUCACUUCGGUGUUGAUUCCCUUGUUACUUUGAGUAAAUUAGAGUGUUCAAAGCAAACAGAUAUAGCAUUGCGCGUUUGAAUACUACAGCAUGGAAUAACAAAAUUGAACAAGUCAGAAUUUUGUUCUUUUUUCUUAUUUUGGCUUAGUUACGAUUAAUAGGAGUAGCUUGGGGGCAUUUGUAUUCAGAUGUCAGAGGUGAAAUUCUUAGAUUUUCUGGAGACAAACAACUGCGAAAGCAUUUGCCUAAAAUACUUCCAUUAAUCAAGAACGAAAGUUAAGGGAGUGAAGACGAUCAGAUACCGUCGUAAUCUUAACCAUAAACUAUGCCGACUAGGCUUUGGAUGAAAGAUUUUAAAAUAAGAGUUUUCUCUUCGGAGUUUACUCUUAGAUUGCUUCCUUCAGUGCCUUAUGAGAAAUCAAAGUCUUUGGGUUCUGGGGCGAGUAUUCGCGCAAGCGAGAAAGUUAAAAGAAUUGACGGAAGGGCACCACCAGGCGUGGAGCUUGCGGCUUAAUUUGACUCAACACGGGAAAACUCACUAGUUUAAGACAAGAGUAGGAUUGACAGAUUAAUAGCUCUUUCUUGAUUUCUUGGAUGGUGAUGCAUGGCCGUUUUUAGUUCGUGAAUAUGAUUUGUCUGGUUAAUUCCGAUAACGAACGAGAUCUUAACCUGCUAAUUAGCGGCAAAUACGAUAUAUUCUUACGUGGGACUGAAUACGGUUGAUUUGCUUACUUUGAAGAAAAUAUUGGGAUACGUAACAGUUUCCCUUUCCCUUUUCUACUUAGUUCGCUUUUCAUACUGUUUCUUUUUCGCGUAAGAAUGUAUUUGCUUGAUUGUAAAGNUCUAGNGA
rnacentral:rRNA from 1 species